AGACCCGAAACCCGGUGAUCUAGCCAUGGGCAGGUUGAAGGUUGGGUAACACUAACUGGAGGACCGAACCGACUAAUGUUGAAAAAUUAGCGGAUGACCUGUGGCUGGGGGUGAAAGGCCAAUCAAACCGGGAGAUAGCUGGUUCUCCCCGAAAGCUAUUUAGGUAGCGCCUCGUGAAUUCAUCUCCGGGGGUAGAGCACUGUUUCGGCUAGGGGGCCAUCCCGGCUUACCAACCCGAUGCAAACUGCGAAUACCGGAGAAUGUUAUCACGGGAGACACACGGCGGGUGCUAACGUCCGUCGUGAAGAGGGAAACAACCCAGACCGCCAGCUAAGGUCCCAAAGUCAUGGUUAAGUGGGAAACGAUGUGGGAAGGCCCAGACAGCCAGGAUGUUGGCUUAGAAGCAGCCAUCAUUUAAAGAAAGCGUAAUAGCUCACUGGUCGAGUCGGCCUGCGCGGAAGAUGUAACGGGGCUAAACCAUGCACCGAAGCUGCGGCAGCGAACGUAUCACCCAAGACAACUUUACGGAGUUGACGAUUGACGGAGCGAAGCGACGUCAAAGCGUUCAUUAAAGUCGAGUUGGCUUAGGGAUACGUUCGUUGGGUAGGGGAGCGUUCUGUAAGCCUGUGAAGGUGUGUCGUGAGGCAUGCUGGAGGUAUCAGAAGUGCGAAUGCUGACAUAAGUAACGAUAAAGCGGGUGAAAAGCCCGCUCGCCGGAAGACCAAGGGUUCCUGUCCAACGUUAAUCGGGGCAGGGUGAGUCGACCCCUAAGGCGAGGCCGAAAGGCGUAGUCGAUGGGAAACGGGUUAAUAUUCCCGUACUUGGUGUUACUGCGAAGGGGGGACGGAGAAGGCUAUGUUGGCCGGGCGACGGUUGUCCCGGUUUAAGCGUGUAGGUGUGUGUUCCAGGUAAAUCCGGUUCACUUUAACACUGAGGCGUGACGACGAGGCACUACGGUGCUGAAGCAACAAAUGCCCUGCUUCCAGGAAAAGCCUCUAAGCAUCAGGUAACAUCAAAUCGUACCCCAAACCGACACAGGUGGUCAGGUAGAGAAUACCAAGGCGCUUGAGAGAACUCGGGUGAAGGAACUAGGCAAAAUGGUGCCGUAACUUCGGGAGAAGGCACGCUGACACGUAGGUGAAGUGAUUUACUCAUGGAGCUGAAGUCAGUCGAAGAUACCAGCUGGCUGCAACUGUUUAUUAAAAACACAGCACUGUGCAAACACGAAAGUGGACGUAUACGGUGUGACGCCUGCCCGGUGCCGGAAGGUUAAUUGAUGGGGUCAGCGCAAGCGAAGCUCCUGAUCGAAGCCCCGGUAAACGGCGGCCGUAACUAUAACGGUCCUAAGGUAGCGAAAUUCCUUGUCGGGUAAGUUCCGACCUGCACGAAUGGCGUAAUGAUGGCCAGGCUGUCUCCACCCGAGACUCAGUGAAAUUGAACUCGCUGUGAAGAUGCAGUGUACCCGCGGCAAGACGGAAAGACCCCGUGAACCUUUACUAUAGCUUGACACUGAACAUUGAGCCUUGAUGUGUAGGAUAGGUGGGAGGCUUUGAAGUGUGGACGCCAGUCUGCAUGGAGCCGACCUUGAAAUACCACCCUUUAAUGUUUGAUGUUCUAACGUGGACCCGUAAUCCGGGUUGCGGACAGUGUCUGGUGGGUAGUUUGACUGGGGCGGUCUCCUCCUAAAGAGUAACGGAGGAGCACGAAGGUUGGCUAAUCCUGGUCGGACAUCAGGAGGUUAGUGCAAUGGCAUAAGCCAGCUUGACUGCGAGCGUGACGGCGCGAGCAGGUGCGAAAGCAGGUCAUAGUGAUCCGGUGGUUCUGAAUGGAAGGGCCAUCGCUCAACGGAUAAAAGGUACUCCGGGGAUAACAGGCUGAUACCGCCCAAGAGUUCAUAUCGACGGCGGUGUUUGGCACCUCGAUGUCGGCUCAUCACAUCCUGGGGCUGAAGUAGGUCCCAAGGGUAUGGCUGUUCGCCAUUUAAAGUGGUACGCGAGCUGGGUUUAGAACGUCGUGAGACAGUUCGGUCCCUAUCUGCCGUGGGCGCUGGAGAACUG
rnacentral:rRNA from 1 species